rnacentral:rRNA from 1 species
AGCUCCAAUAGCGUAUAUUAAAGUUGUUGCGGUUAAAAAGCUCGUAGUUGGAUUUCUGUUGAGGUCGGGCGGUGUGCACCUCGUGCAUUAUUUGCUUCGGUCUCGGCAUCCUCCUGGGGAACGUUUAGGACUUUAUUGGACUAGGCGAGAUUCAGGACUUUUACUUUGAGGAAAUUAGAGUGUUCACGGCAAGCAAGCGCGGGAAUACAUUAGCAUGGAAUAAUAAUAUAGGACCUUCGUUCUAUUUUGUUGGUUUCUAGAACUUAGGUAAUGAUUAAUAGGGACAAUUGGGGGCAUUCGUAUUAACGCGUCAGAGGUGGAAUUCUUGGAUUGCGUUACGACGAACUACUGCGAAAGCAUUUGCCAAAGAUGUUU